UUAAAUUGAAGAGUUUGAUCAUGGCUCAGAUUGAACGCUGGCGGCAGGCCUAACACAUGCAAGUCGAACGGUAACAGAAAGCAGCUUGCUGCUUUGCUGACGAGUGGCGGACGGGUGAGUAAUGUCUGGGAAACUGCCUGAUGGAGGGGGAUAACUACUGGAAACGGUAGCUAAUACCGCAUAACGUCGCAAGACCAAAGAGGGGGACCUUCGGGCCUCUUGCCAUCGGAUGUGCCCAGAUGGGAUUAGCUUGUUGGUGGGGUAACGGCUCACCAAGGCGA
rnacentral:rRNA from 1 species